rnacentral:rRNA from 1 species
AGAGUUUGAUCCUGGCUCAGAUUGAACGCUGGCGGCAUGCCUUACACAUGCAAGUCGAACGGCAGCACGGGUGCUUGCACCUGGUGGCGAGUGGCGAACGGGUGAGUAAUACAUCGGAACAUGUCCUGUAGUGGGGGAUAGCCCGGCGAAAGCCGGAUUAAUACCGCAUACGAUCUACGGAUGAAAGCGGGGGACCUUCGGGCCUCGCGCUAUAGGGUUGGCCGAUGGCUGAUUAGCUAGUUGGUGGGGUAAAGGCCUACCAAGGCGACGAUCAGUAGCUGGUCUGAGAGGACGACCAGCCACACUGGGACUGAGACACGGCCCAGACUCCUACGGGAGGCAGCAGUGGGGAAUUUUGGACAAUGGGCGAAAGCCUGAUCCAGCAAUGCCGCGUGUGUGAAGAAGGCCUUCGGGUUGUAAAGCACUUUUGUCCGGAAAGAAAUCCU